rnacentral:rRNA from 1 species
AUUGAACGCUGGCGGCAGGCCUAACACAUGCAAGUCGAGCGGAUGAAGGGAGCUUGCUCCUGGAUUCAGCGGCGGACGGGUGAGUAAUGCCUAGGAAUCUGCCUGGUAGUGGGGGAUAACGUCCGGAAACGGGCGCUAAUACCGCAUACGUCCUGAGGGAGAAAGUGGGGGAUCUUCGGGCCUCACGCUAUCAGAUGAGCCUAGGUCGGAUUAGCUAGUUGGUGGGGUAAAGGCCUACCAAGGCGACGAUCCGUAACUGGUCUGAGAGGAUGAUCAGUCACACUGGAACUGAGACACGGUCCAGACUCCUACGGGAGGCAGCAGUGGGGAAUAUUGGACAAUGGGCGAAAGCCUGAUCCAGCCAUGCCGCGUGUGUGAAGAAGGUCUUCGGAUUGUAAAGCACUUUAAGUUGGGAGGAAGGGCAGUAAGUUAAUACCUUGCUGUUUUGACGUUACCAACAGAAUAAGCACCGGCUAACCUCGUG